UCCGUGGUCAUUUAUUAGAGGCUUAUUUAAAAAUGUCUUAGUUCACAAUGCUGGUCAUAAAAUUGGCUUUUAAAUGACACUAUGAUAACAAGUCAUCCACAAACAGAUAUGACAUCUUAUAACGCCAUAAUAGCCCAGCGACCGAGGACUUGACAAUAGAUUCGGAGGGCUCUUUGGUGUUCUACGCAAUACGGAGUUGCUGUCCCGAAUGUUCUGGGUCCUCCCUGACGGAGAUGAGACGCGCUGUGUGGUGAAGGGCUCUGUUUCGGUAGUUGCAGACCUUCUGUGAGUCAGAAAAAAUGGAUGUGAUGACCUCCAGAAAUGCCUUCAGGUCUUAUAGUCUUAGGAAAACAAAAAUAUUGCACACAGCCAAAUCUAUGGCCCCAAAUCAGCAUUAAAGAAAAGUUACAAAACAUUCAUAAAAAACAAGGGCAAAUUCAAGACCAAAGGGAAGGAGAAGUCUUUACUGUGAUAUAAAGACAGAAGAGUCAACCCCUCCUUGAUAAGGUUAGCAUUUCCGGAGAAGCAGUAAGACAGCCUGU
rnacentral:lncRNA from 1 species